UCGUAAACUCGUAUGCAGUCGAGAGAGCCACGAAGCCAUCGUACAGACCGCAUCGAACUCCUCCUUUCCGCCCGCCCGCCGCCGCCGCCGCCGCAGCCAUUCAUGGCGGGGCGCCGCCGGGGAGGAUUCGAACAUUAACCCAUGCUAUUCUCCACACCUCCCUGCAAAUCCCAAGCUCCUGCAGCCGCCGCCGCCAUCGUAGCAGCUAUCUCCAGCCGCCGCAUCUCCUCCUCCUCGUCGCCGGCGCUGAUUCCCCCGCCGCAUCACGAGGACAACCCAUUCUCCCCACUCCUCACCUCCGAUCCCCCACCACCGGAUCCGCUCCGCCGGGUUCUUGCCACGGGCGACGUCCACGCCGCGCUCCGCGGCCUCCCGGUCCUCGCGCGCCAGCUAUUCCGGUGGGCGGAGGGCACCCCGCACGGCUUCCCCCGCUCCGCGUCCGCAUUCGCCGCCGUCCUCAUCCCGCUCGCCGAGGCCCGCCACAACAGCGCCACCUACCCCGUCUCCCUCCGCGCCCUCCACGCCGGCCUGCUCCUGCCCCUCAUCUCCCUCCUCCUCACGUAUCCCCUGUCCCGUUCCUCCUAUCACCUCCUAAACCUCCUCUUACGCAUGUCCACCAAGUUCCCAGCCGAAUGCGAGGCGCACGGCUCCGUGCCCACCACCUGUUCGACCCAAUGCCUUUCGGUCUUCCAAGAGAUGGCCCGUCAUGGCGUAGCCCCUUACGUCAAGGAGUGCAACAUCGUGCUCCAUGUGCUAUGCCGUGCGGCCAGGUGGGAUGACAUGAGUGCUGUGUAUUCUGAUAUGCUGCAGCUCGGGGUCAAGCCAAGCAUUGUCACAUACAAUACAUUGCUGGAUUCUUUCUGCAAGUCGGGGAGGAUCGAUCAGGCUGUCAGCCUGCUCAGGGACAUGGAGGCCCAGGCUGCUGGGUGCUUGCCGGAUGAUGUCACCUACAAUGUGGUCAUCAGCGGGUUGGCCAGGAAUGGUGAGCUGGACAAGGCGUCUGAGCUGGUUGAUAGAUUGCGCUUGUCCAAGAAAGCAUCAGCCUUCACAUAUAAUCCACUUAUCACUGGGUUGUUAGCCAGGGGUUUCGUUGAGAAGGCUAGAGCUUUGCAGCGGGAGAUGGAGAAUGAUGGCGUUCCGCCAACGGUGGUGACAUACAAUGCAUUGAUCGAUGGGCUGUUUAAAAGAGGGAAUGCUGAGGCGGCACUGGUGAUAUUUGCGGAAAUGAGGGCAAUGGGGAUGCCGCCAGAUUUGAUUACUUAUAAUUCCUUAAUAAAUGGAUAUUGUAAGGCAGGGAAUUUGAGGCAGGCACUUUCGUUGCUUGGUGAUUUGAGGCGUGCAGGGUUAGCUCCAACAGUUUUGACAUAUAAUAUCCUUAUAGAUGGUUAUUGUAGAUUAGGCGAUUUAGAGGGGGCUAAGAGAAUCAAGGAGAAGAUGACAGAGGAGGGCUGCCUGUCCGAUGUUUGUACAUAUACUAUUCUUAUGAAUGGGUCAUGCAAGGUCAGGAACCUUGCUAUGGUCAGGGUGUUCUUUGAUGAAAUGCUGAGCAAAGGUUUACAACCAGAUGCCUUUGCCUACAACACGAGGAUUUUAGCAGAGCUGACUCUAGGGUCUAUUUCCGGUGCUUUUCAGUUGAGGGAGGAGAUGACGCUGAGAGGAAUUCCUUCUGAUACAGUUACAUAUAAUAUUCUUAUUGAUGGGCUGUGCAAGACUGGUAGCCUGAAAGAUGCCUAUGCGUUGUGGAUGAAGAUGGUCAGUGAUGGUUUACAGCUUGAUUGUGUCACAUACACUUGCUUGAUCCAUGCACAUUGUGAGAGGGGGCGCCUAGCGGAAGCAAAUAGUAUUUUUUAUGGCAUGGUUGCAAGUGGUUUGACACCCUCGGCUGUGACCUAUACUGUUUUAAUCCACACAUACUGCAGGAGGGGAAAUCUAUAUUCAGCAUAUGGUUGGUUCCGGAAGAUGCUGGAGGAAGGAGUGGAACCUAAUGAAAUAACAUAUAAUGUGCUGAUGCAUGCAUUAUGCCGGAUGGGGAGAACUGAAUUGGCUUAUCGACAUUUUCAUGAGAUGCUGGAGAGAGGAUUGGUGCCAAACAAGUGCACAUACACCUUUUUGAUAGAUGGGAACUGUAAAGAAGGUAAUUGGGUGGAGGCUAUAAGGUUGUACUGCGAAAUGCAUCAGAAUGGUAUUCAUCCAGACCAUUGCACACAUAACGCCUUGUUUAAGGGAUUUGGUGAAGACCACAUGCACAAGGCAAUCCAGUACUUGGAGAAUGUUGUUUUGGGUGUCUAGGAUGGUCCUCAAGAAAGGAUCACGGUGGCCUUGCUUGGUGGAGAACUCUCAGAUGGCAGAUGGAACCUGGGGUGACAUUCUCUGGAUAAUGGAGCUAUGUGCUUUCCAGAGAGAUUGUUAAACACAAACAGGUCCUUCUCUUGCUGUGUGAGCUUCCUCCCAGUUUCCCCUUGGCCAUAUGCUUAUGGUCAUGGAGCUAUACCAUUUUGCCCCAUUGUUUUUUUCUUUUGAUAUGGCGUAAUGGAAAUCUUUUGACCAUGCAUCCCAAACACCUACUGUCCCAAAAGUGAAUGGCUAUGGACCUUUUGCACCAAGCUUCAACAAUAACGUAUAGGCUUUCUCUUGAUCUUCUCUUUUUCUCAAUGAUAAGUAUGGUGGGUGGAGGGGAACUUUGUCUCAAGUCUCGAUUGUUGGUAGCCAAAACAUGUCUACUUAUAUGAGAUUAAAGUGCAGUUGGAAGGCCCUUCUGUUGGUCAAACCAACCAUUUCUUGUUUCAGUUGUUUGUGCUCUAACAUAAUUGCACAGCUUCGUGCUGCUGCUGAACUGCGGAGUCGCUAGCCAGGAGGGGGCUGCCGAAUUACGGAUUGUACCCUGCUUAUUACAUCGUGAACCAUUGAUCACCUUCAGAGUGGAAGCACAUUUUUCAUGCUGCCCUGGAGAGGUCUACGAGCCUGCACCCCAAGGGUAGGGUGGGAAUUUGGUCGUUGGUGGAUUGAGGAACAGGAGGGCAUUUGUCUCCUUUGUCCUGCUGUUAACCUGGACAAGUUGGAAAAAAAGGAUAAUCGGUGCCUUUUCUUUCCCAUGCAAAUUAGAAGUGCACUUCGUUUUUCAACAUGACAAAGCCUGGUCAGUGAAGCAGCUAAUGAGGACAGUCAAGGACUAACCAGUUGGUGUGAUAAGGAGCCUGGAAAUAUUCAUGGUGGUCAUGCAGAAGUUCUUUAGCUGAAUAAUUUCUUAGCUAGGCAUGAUUCUGUACAAUUUAUCUUUUAUUCUUUCACCCUUUCUCUCAAUGUCUUGCUUCAAUCCAAAUCUGGUGGUUUGUUGCUAGGUCAGGGGACAAAGUUGUAAGUGUUGUUUCGCUAUCCUAAUGUAAUGGCAUGCAGGCAUACUGCAUGUUCUAUUAAAAAGGGAGAUUGUUCUUUCCCUCAUGUUCUGUUUCUUCGGAAGUAGUUCUCGAAAAAGAUAAAUUCACCAUGAGGUACUUCUCAUUUGAUUAUUCUGAUGUGACCAAAUUCAUGUUUUGAUACAGAAAGAUAUUAUCAAAUUGAUACAUAUGUGAAUUUUAAUGUUGA